UACAGAGGGGGCAAGCGUUGUUCGGAAUUACUGGGCGUAAAGGGCUCGUAGGCGGCCAACUAAGUCAGACGUGAAAUCCCUCGGCUUAACCGGGGAACUGCGUCUGAUACUGGAUGGCUUGAGAUUGGGAGAGGGAUGCGGAAUUCCAGGUGUAGCGGUGAAAUGCGUAGAUAUCUGGAGGAACACCGGUGGCGAAGGCGGCAUCCUGGACCAACACUGACGCUGAGGAGCGAAAGCCAGGGGAGCAAACGGG
rnacentral:rRNA from 1 species